rnacentral:rRNA from 1 species
GUGACUGAGGGGGGCGUGGGGGGGGAAAUACGAAGGGGCGCAGUGUGAGCCGGAUGGGUGGGGCGUAAAGCGAGCGGGGAUGGUGAAGUAAGGCGUAAGUGGGAGACCUGAGCGCAACUGAGGAAGUGCGUUGGAAACUGGAGGAGUGGGGUGAAGUAGAGGAAAGUGGAACUCCAGGUGUAGCGGUGAAAUGCGUAGAUAUAUGGAAGAACACCAGUGGCGAAGGCGGCUUUCUGGACUGUAACUGACGUUGAGGCUCGAAAGUGUGGGGAGCAAACAGGAUUAGAUACCCGUGUAGUC